UACGUAGGGUGCAAGCGUUGUCCGGAAUUAUUGGGCGUAAAGAGCUCGUAGGCGGUUUGUUGCGUCGGCUGUGAAAACCUGAGGCUCAACCUCAGGCCUGCAGUCGAUACGAGCAGACUAGAGUGUUGCAGGGGAGACUGGAAUUCCUGGUGUAGCGGUGAAAUGCGCAGAUAUCAGGAGGAACACCGAUGGCGAAGGCAGGUCUCUGGGCAUUAACUGACGCUGAGGAGCGAAAAGCAUGGGGGAGCGAACAGG
rnacentral:rRNA from 1 species